GACGAGCCUCACAAACGUUAUUCGGAAUUACUGGGCGUAAAGCGCACGUAGGUGGUUUGUUAAGCUAGCUGUGAAAUCCCCGGGCUCAACCUGGGCACUGCAGUUAGAACUGGCAAGCUAGAGUAGGGUAGAGGGGUGUGGAAUUCCAGGUGUAGCGGUGAAAUGCGUAGAUAUCUGGAGGAACAUCAGUGGCGAAGGCGACACCCUGGACUCAUACUGACACUGAGGUGCGAAAGCGUGGGGAGCAAACAGG
rnacentral:rRNA from 1 species